ensembl:snRNA U6 U6 spliceosomal RNA
AUAUUUGCUUCAGCAGUAUACAUACUAAAACUGAAUGAUACAGAGAAGAUUAGCAUGACCUCUGUGUAAGGAUGACACAUACAUUCAUGAAGCAUCCCAUAUUUUU